GGGUGAUCAAUGAUUUCUGCUCAGCUUGUUUUUAGAUGAAGGGCAUUCUUUGCUCAUGAUCAUCCAGGGUCUUCAUGGGCGACUAAAGGUUUCUACUCAGUUCAUCUUAAGAUGAGGGGCAUUCAUCGCUCGUGGUCAUCCGACGUUCUCACGGGUGACCAAGGGUUUCUGCUCAACUCAUCCUAGGAUAAGGGACAUUCUUCGCUUAUGGUCAUUCGAGGUAUUCACAAGUGAUCAAGGGUUUCUGCUCAGCUCAUCUUAGGAUGAGGGGCAUUUUUCGCUCAUGGUCAUCCAACAUUCUCACAGGCAACCAAGUAUUUCUACUCAGCUCAUCUCGAGAUAAGGGGUAUUCUUUGCUCAUGGUUGUCUGACGUUCCCACUAGCAACCAAGGAUUUCUACUCAACUCAUAUUGGGAUGAGGGGCAUUCUUCACUCAUGGUUGUCUGACAUUCUCAUGGGCGACCAAGGAUUUCUACUCAGCUCAUCUUGGGACUAGGGGCAUUCUUCGCUCAUGGUUGUCUGGGGUCUUCACAAUUCACCAAGGAUUUUUGCUCAACUCAUCUUAGAACGAGGGGCAUUCUUCGCUCAUUGUCGUUCAACAUUCUCAUGGGUGACCAAGGGUUUCUUCUUAGCUCAUCUUGGGAUGAGGGGCAUUCUUCGCUCAUGGUUGUCCGAUGUUCUCAUGGGCAACCAAAGGU
rnacentral:lncRNA from 1 species